rnacentral:rRNA from 1 species
CCUACGGGGGACAGCAGUGAGGAAUAUUGGUCAAUGGGCUUGCGCCUGAACCAGCCAAGUCGCGUGAGGGAAGACUGCCCUAUGGGUUGUAAACCUCUUUUGUCAGGGAGCAACGCCGGCCACGUGUGCCCGGACGGAGAGUACCUGUAGAAAAAGCAUCGGCUAACUCCGUGCCAGCAGCCGCGGUAAUACGGAGGAUGCGAGCGUUAUCCGGAUUUAUUGGGUUUAAAGGGAGCGUAGAUGGGUUGUUAAGUCAGUUGUGAAAGUUUGCGGCUCAACCGUAAAAUUGCAGUUGAAACUGGCAGCCUUGAGUACAGUAGAGGUAGGCGGAAUUCGUGGUGUAGCGGUGAAAUGCUUAGAUAUCACGAAGAACUCCGAUUGCGAAGGCAGCCUACUGAACUGCCACUGACAUUGAGGCUCGAAAGUGUGGGUAUCAAACAGGAUUAGAUACCCUUGUAGUC